rnacentral:snRNA from 1 species
GCUCUCCGGCUUCUCGCCAGAUCGCACAGGUCUUUCGCCUUUUGCUAAAGAUUUCCGUGGACGAGAACAACUCCGAGGUUUUGUUUUUGUUUUUUUUUUUUUGAGCUGGAGUCUCACUC